UUAAGUUCAGCGGGUAGUCCUACCUGAUUUGAGGUCAAAUAUUCAAAAGUUGUCCACAAAUGGACAAUUAGAAGCUGAACACACAGAGAGCAGCCGUUGUCUUGGGCGUAGAUAAUUAUCACACCGGUGACUGACCGCAAACGGUUCCGCUAAUGCAUUUCAGGGGAGCCGACCUCAGAGAGGCCCGCAGGAAUACCCCC
rnacentral:misc_RNA from 1 species